UCACCAGUGAGGUGUAUCCUUUCCUGUUCCUGCAGCAAUGUCAGCCGCAGAGCGUGAUGAAUGGAGAGCAGUGAGCCGGUGAUUAAGCGCUCCUUCUCGGUCGGGGAUUGUAACUCUGCUCCGAGACCAUUCUGAU